ACUGGUUGUGCAAACACCUACGGUACCAGUAAUUCUGGGGAGGCAAGUACUCUGGAAACGACGGAGAAUUAACUCCGGAAUUACCUAGUUAUCUGGCAUCACGGUGAAAAGAGUUCCACAGUGUGAGUAGUGCUGGAGUAGAUGCUGCUGGUCUGUGUUUUCCUGUCACCGUGAUAAACCAUCGCUGGCACUCAGACCCGUGGUGCUCACCGCAGCGACCUGAAACAAAAUGGAGAGGAGCAUCCCUAAGGACUACCACGUCAGCGAAUCUGUAGGAUCGUCCCCCGCCUUUCCUCGUUAAUUUCGGGCCACUUUCACCUUUCCCUUUCACCCUAAAUCAGACUUAAAAAGAAAUUUACUCCUUCUUCAGCAGCAAAGCGUCAGCUUUCCUGUCAGCGUGAGUCUCACUGAAGCCUGACCUAACUCUUUCGGAUCGGAACUAGAAAGUUUAUUAUCAAGGAGGUAUUUAACCACGACUAUACUUACCUACUGUACCCUUGUGGUUGGUCCCAUGGUGUAAUGGUUAGCACUCUGGACUUUGAAUCCAGCAAUCCGAGUUCGAAUCUCGGUGGGACCUUUCAAAGGUGAACGUUUUACAGUUCCUGGCUUGGCCUCUGAAUGUGGGAAAAAUUCGUUCCUCCGCUUCCCAUCGAAUUCUCGUCGAAAACAACUUUGUGGUCGCGUGCACGGUAUUGAACUCUCCCCUUCUAUCCAAGCAUGAAAGUACCAAGCUCUUUCGCCUAGAAGAACGCUUUCAAAGCGUAUCAAAUUCACGGGUUUGGAGACAAAGAGAAAGAUGCUGCUCUUAUCGACUUACGAAAAGCUCCAGCAGCAACGUGGAAACCCAAUUCCUGUGAUGGAGACAAACGCUUCCUCAAAAUUUCCUAGGUUCGAAGCCCUCCUCGCUGCCACAACCAAGUCCUGCGUGUAAAGUGGCUGAGCCUUGGUCUCGGGCGUGUUUCUUUUGUUUGUUUUUUUGUUUGUUUUUUUUUUUUUUUUUCGCUGUGGACCUUGCGCCCCGGGUUACUUCUCGCCCCUUUUCCCUAUCCCCCAUCUUGAUGAGACAAUUCACCCUCAUCUGCUUUCUCUAGUCCCCUGUACUUCUUAGUCUCUCCGCUCACCCCGACUGCAACGUCUGGAAAUCCCUCCAAAGCCAGCAGCCCCGGAGGGCUCGGGUCCCUGGUAUCCACGGCGUCGAGUCUUCCAGCCGGAGAGAAAAACUCACCUAGGACCGGACCUGGGCCUCGCCGCGCUGGGAGCUGGCAUUCCCAAUUCAGGACCAGACACGGUGGAGGGGCCCUACAACUUGUGUGGGAGACAAGGGAGAUGGGGGUAAAAAGACCUCUGCCUUCAGCCGUUCGCCUGGCAUCUCGCCUCUUCAGCUCCUAGUACCAGGGUGAAAGGAGGGGGCUCCCUGACCGAGUCCUCCCCAGACACUACCAAACACUCGGUCCGAAGCAUCCGGGAAACAGUCCCUUGGAGCUGAAGGUCAAGAACAGAAAAUGUAGCCGCUAUCUUGCCUCCCCUGAACUGUGUGUGUAGACGAGGAUUGAAUUGGAGAUAGAGUUGAUGAAACCCGGAAGGUCUGGAAAAUUCCUUAUAGACACUAAUUUAGCUGUUAGAAUGAGGUGGGAAAUGUGAGGUGUCAAGGUGAGGGAAAGGUGUGCCCUAGAGGACAGAGAGGACAAGAACUAAAUUAGAAACAAGUAUUUGUGUUUCGUACAAAUUAAUCUCUUCUAUGAUGUAAGAGACAACCUUUAAAUCCAAUUAUUUAUUUUCAGAUUUCUUACUUUGACAUUUUGAUUUUCGCAUACAUACCAAAAAACCAAAUCGAAUCCUACUUUCACCAAGUCCAUUAAACCAUUAAUAAUUCAUUAGCUCAUAUUUUGAAUUACCAUUGGUUACACAGAGACUCUGUAACUAAGUUUACAAAAUUCAUGAAAGCAUUAUUUUGGCUCCCGUUAUGUGUGCUUGAUUGUACUUCAUAUGGUCUGUAAUGGUGCUAAUUGCAGAGGGAAAUAACAUUUUCUUGUGGUGUUGCCUUAGCUAGUGUGGCCCCACCUUCUUUCCACUUUGUUGAUGUUAGCGUGAUGAGAUCUCACCCAAAGUGUUCUCCCUUUUCCUAAUGGCCUAACAGCCUCUUCUGCCUGUUUGGGAUGCUUAUAAGUCCAGCCAUCCUUCCGACCAACACCAUAGCCUGCCUGUGUUACUGUAAGUAAUCAUUAUGAUCACAUCCAUCGUCAAGCAUCCACUUAUCCUAGCUCAAACCAGUAACUCAGACUUUAUCCCAAGCCUCUAAAUUAAGGUAAUGGACAAGACCUGAUUGGAGAUGGUGCCUGCACAACGUGACCCAGAACUGAACAGAAGGCCAAGGAGCAGCUGCUAUGAGGAGGCGGAAGCAGCCACCAACACUGGGAGAGGCUGGGAGCAUAUGUAGAUGCUCCCCCUGAUGCCUUACAUGUUCUGUGGGUCUACCAAUUCCUUUAGGAAGCUGAGGAAAUUCCCGUGGGUAUUUAUAAAAACUCCACCCUUGAACAAACUUUAGUUAGGUUCCUCUGAGCCCUCCUCUCAACUAGGUCCCAUCCUUGGCUUGUCCAGCCCAAUUUCAGCAAAUAAUCCAGUUGAGCCUAGUUUUAGCAAGAAUCUUGCUAAGCCAAUUCAGUAAGAAUUCCUCACCUCAAAAUCCUAUCAAGUUUCUCUUUUUCCACCCUUGAUAUCUAAUCAAGUUCCUCGUAGUCACUUUCUAUCAAAUGGUUGUCUUACCCUUACUAUUAGCUAUAGAUCCCCAGCUGUCCCUGAUGUAUUUGGAUCUGAGUUUAUUUAAUUUCUCUCCCCUAUUGCAAUUGUCUGGAAUAAAGUCUUCCUUGCCUAUUUAA
rnacentral:tRNA from 1 species